CCCCUCUCAGGAUUGCACCCGGAGAGUUUCCAAUACUCUACCAGUCUCAGCUACUGGAGGGAAAGUCAAGCAGAGACACAUCCAUUCCAUUCCUAGCUUGGGCAGUGUCUAGUGAGUGGAAGGCAAAUUGCUACAAGU